GAUGAACGCUGGCGGCGUGCCUAAUACAUGCAAGUCGAGCGAACAGACGAGGAGCUUGCUCCUCUGACGUUAGCGGCGGACGGGUGAGUAACACGUGGAUAACCUACCUAUAAGACUGGGAUAACUUCGGGAAACCGGAGCUAAUACCGGAUAAUAUAUUGAACCGCAUGGUUCAAUAGUGAAAGACGGUUUUGCUGUUACUUAUAGAUGGAUCCGCGCCGCAUUAGCUAGUUGGUAAGGUAACGGCUUACCAAGGCAACGAUGCGUAGCCGACCUGAGAGGGUGAUCGGCCACACUGGAACUGAGACACGGUCCAGACUCCUACGGGAGGCAGCAGUAGGGAAUCUUCCGCAAUGGGCGAAAGCCUGACGGAGCAACGCCGCGUGAGUGAUGAAGGUCUUCGGAUCGUAAAACUCUGUUAUUAGGGAAGAACAAAUGUGUAAGUAACUAUGCACGUCUUGACGGUACCUAAUCAGAAAGCCACGGCUAACUACGU
rnacentral:rRNA from 1 species